rnacentral:misc_RNA from 1 species
GAUGAAGAACGUAGCGAAAUGCGAUAAGUAAUGUGAAUUGCAGAAUUCAGUGAAUCAUCGAAUCUUUGAACGCACAUUGCACCCGCCAGUAUUCUGGCGGGCAUGCCUGUUCGAGCGUCAUUUCAACCCUCAAGCCCAGCUUGGUGUUGGGGAUCGGCACAGGCGCCCUCGGGCGCCCGCCGUCCCCUAAAUCUAGUGGCGGUCCCGCUGCAGCCUCCUCUGCGUAGUAGUUUUCUCCUCGCAAGGGCAGCUCGGUGGCGACCUCGCCGUAAAACCCCCAACUUCUGAAAGGUUGACCUCGAAUCAGGUAGGAAUACCCGCUGAACUUAAGCAUAUCAUAAGCGGAGGA